rnacentral:tRNA from 1 species
GCCCAGGUGGCGAAAUUGGUAGACGCACUAGCUUCAGGUGCUAGCGGCCGCAAGGUCGUGGAAGUUCGAGUCUUCUCCUGGGCACCA